GAGCUCGGGGCACCUCCACCAUGGCCUGGACCCCUCUCCUGCUCCCCCUCCUCACUCUCUGCACAGGCUCUGUGACCUCCUCUGUGCUGACUCAGUCACCUGCGGUGUCUGUGUCGCUGGGACAGACAGCCAGGAUCACCUGCCAGGGAGGAGAAUUAGGAAUAGUUCCUGCUCACUGGUACCAGCAGACGCCAGGCCAGAGUCCUGCACUGCUACUCUAUAAUGACAAUAACCGGGCUUCGGGGGUCCCUGACCGAUUCUCUGGGUCCCGCUCAGGUGGAACGGCCACCCUGACCAUCACUGGGGCCCAGGCUGAGGACGAGGCUGACUAUUUCUGUGAGUCUUUGGACAACAGUGGUUAUGUCGGCACAGUGACACGGGCAGAUGGGGAAGUGCCUCCUCCCUCCUUCCAAGCUGGCUUGAGACUGCAGGUCUCCAUGGAGAUCUGGAUUCAGAGAAGCCAUUUAUGA